GUAAAACGGAAGUCUAGGGCUAAAGACGACACAGCAGCUCUCAGGGAGAAGCCAACUUCAGCUCAACAAGAAGAUUAAGAAAUUCUACAGUUUUACUUUCCUUUAUUUUUAAUAUUGAAAUCACAUUUUUCAGAAUUUCUUUUUGGUAUAUUGGAGAUUUUUUGUUUUUUUCAAAUGUCAGGAAAUACAACAAUUAUUUUUAUCCAGCCUUCGGUGACUGAAGGACCAGUUUCUUCUGAAGGAACUCCACUUCUUCCUGGCUCCACACCUGAGUCUAAAGACUGCUCCUGUGCAGACUGCUGUGUGGUCUGCUGUGGCUGUGUGAGCCUCAUCGUUCUGAGCAUCCUGGAGAUCUUGUGUUGUCCCUUCACUUUCCUCUGUUCACUCUGUGAUAAUCACUAGGGUCAGUCUACCGGCCCCUCAAGGAGAAUGCAUGUUUUAAGGGAAAAGGAAGAGACAAAACAGUAUUGAGGACAUACUCCAAUACUUGAAGAAGGCAGAUACAAGGGCAGAGGAGAGGGAAGCUGAGGCAAAUGCGAGAGCAGAGGAGCGGGAUGACCGGUUGCUGCAGCAGUCCAACACUGUGCUGAUGGGGCUGAUGGAAAAUGACACACACACAGUUUCACUCCACAUAAUGUACCUAUCUGGAACAACAGAUGUAUUCUUUCCAAAAGAAAAUCUAUCUAUUAUGAGGACUGGGUGAGAAAGGGGAUUUGGUCCAUUUCACAUUUAACAGAUUCUAAAGGGAACCUUAUGAAGAAAUAUAAUUUACAAUGCUCAAAACAGCAAUAUCAUACAGUCAUCAAAGCUCUCCCAUUAGAAUUGUUAAAUCUAGUUGUGGCAUGUUGAGAUAUGAUAAAAAUUACACCAAAUUCCCUUUACUCACCAUAGAUGAAUUUGAAUUUAAAGACAAAAACUGCUCAAAUAAAAUAAUAAGGAACAUUAUUACUACCAAAUUGUGUCCUCUCCCAUUAAAAAGAAUCCAUGUACUUAAAGAGUUUCCAGUUAAUAUCAUUGAAAAUUUUUAAAAAUUAGAACAAAUUAUUUCUCAUUUCCAAUCUCCCCUAAAGCCAAAGAAACUCACUUUAAAAUUUUAAAUGAUAUUUACCCCUGUACAAUUCUUGAAAAAAACAUUUUAAUAUGGAGACCAAUAACUGCACCUUUUGUAACAGUGAAAUAGAAACUGUUGAACAUUUGUUCUUUUAUUGGAGCCGUAUUAGAACGUUUUGGGACUCAUUCCAAAUGUGGAUGGUGGAAUAUGACACAGAUUUACCAAAUGUAACUUAUAAAGAUAUAAAAUACAGAAUAAUUUUGGAAGACAACAAAAAACUGUUCUAUAAUUCUUGUUUAUUACUAGCCAAACAAUAAAACCCUUGUUCAAAAUAUAUCGUCAUGAUUUUUUGCAAUUUAAUCCUCACGUCACAUUAAAGGUUGUAUGGAGGAUUUUUUUUUGUUUCAAAUUGUCAAUGAUAGCAUUAUAGAGGUGCAGUAGCCUUGUAAUUAUGAUGACCAAAAAAGAGAGAAUAAAAAUUCAUCAACUCUGGACGUGGUGGGGCUAAACAUUUGCCAAUAGAUAACGACACUGCCUCGUUAUCUGUGAGCUGACAGGCUGUCAAUCAAACUCCCUACGUUUCUAGCGUAACUGACUUGCCUGCGCGCCGCCGUACGUGGUUUACGUACGCCUGUCACGCAGUCCACAGACGCAAGCCGCACAGACGCUGUUUACUCCACCAACGCAACAGUUCUUAGCGGCUUUUUUUUACCUAUAUCUUCCUCGCAGUUCGCACAAAGUUUGUUGCAAUGGCGACAAGAAUCCAGGAGCAGUUCGCCGCAAAAGAAAGUCCGUUUUUGAGGUCGCUGAAAGAAGAAGACAAGGGGAAAAGCAGCGAAGCCAAACUAAGGUGAUUCUUGAAGAUUCAUUCCAGCGAUGGCGCGACUGAAGCAAACGCAGGGUCUAAAGACUGACGCACUGGUCGCCAAAUUACUCCUGGACAGGUCACUUCUGCUUAUUAUGAAAACGUACUUUAUUUCCAAGAGCUAGACAAACAUUUUUCAGGACACGAAAGCGAUAUCCUAUGUCUGAAAACGUAAUUUUCAAGGCAAAGAAAGAGUCCGCUUGCUGCUGCGUGUUGUAGCUCGUUCAUUCGCACGGAAUCUCCGCACAACCUUCUCUGCACCCCUUUCCUGCUCCUGUCCCCGCUGCCCGAUCCGCUCUUCUCCCUGCUCCUCACUUCUCGUCCGCGAACGAAAUGUCCGCACACCCGCUCCCCCCGCUCCUCACUUCUCCGCUCUUGCCUAACCAACACUGUAGUUAGUUGUUUACAAGUCAUGUGCAGCACCGGCUGUAAACAAACCUGUUUCUGGCGUAAGGAGGAGGAGGGAGGAGGCGUUUCUACGUAGGAGCUCGCAUGCGCAACAUUUGAAAAAGGACAAACAGUCGCUGGAUUUCUCGUUCCUUGGAAAAUCCUCUAUACAACCUUUAAAUCUAAACAAGCCAUUAUAAUAAAUGAUUUCAUGCAGUCAGAUGCAUAAGACCUCUUGCAUUGUACUUUCUUGUAUUAACAUUGCAUUGUGUGUGUUUAUUUUAUUGUUUUAUUGGAGGCCUUGCAGCGUAGGCAUUCCAGGCAUUGCUCUGUCUGGAAUGUUCCACAGUGUGACAUUAAAGAGCUCUGCUUUACAUUUAUUCAAUUACACAUGGUUUUAUUGCUCAAAAAUCCCUAGAAAAACAGACAUUCACUGUGAGUGGGGUCGCCUCUCCACAGACCUGACCUGUAACUUGGUCUGAUUUGGUCUCCAUGGAGAUAGAAAAGUUUAAUGCCACACUGUGGAACAUUCCAGACAAAGCAAUAACAUCAACAUGGAGGUCUGCUCUUUAUUUUAUUUUAUUUAAUUUUAUUUUCUUCUUUUACUCUAUUGCCCUUCUUGUUCGUUUCUCCUCUUGAGCUCACAAAUUCAACAUGUUUUAUUAACACACAUAUAAACACACACUCAUGGUUUACUUUUAUUUGAUUAUUAUUCUGUUUAUUGAAUUGUUUCGUCUUGUCUGCAGACUGUCCUGUUACAUGAGUCAGUAUGUCCUGUUAUUCGUGUUUUGAAUCUAUCAUCUGUAUGUAUGCUUUAAAUAUAUAUACCUAGGCCCAAAUCCAGGUUAAUAAAAUGUGAACCAAG